AUUGAACGCUGGCGGCAGGCCUAACACAUGCAAGUCGAGCGGAUGAUGGGAGCUUGCUCCUGGAUUCAGCGGCGGACGGGUGAGUAAUGCCUAGGAAUCUGCCUGGUAGUGGGGGACAACGUUUCGAAAGGAACGCUAAUACCGCAUACGUCCUACGGGAGAAAGCAGGGGACCUUCGGGCCUUGCGCUAUCAGAUGAGCCUAGGUCGGAUUAGCUAGUAGGUGAGGUAAAGGCUCACCUAGGCGACGAUCCGUAACUGGUCUGAGAGGAUGAUCAGUCACACUGGAAAUGAGACACGGUCCAGACUCCUACGGGAGGCAGCAGUGGGGAAUAUUGGACAAUGGGCGAAAGCCUGAUCCAGCCAUGCCGCGUGUGUGAAGAAGGUCUUCGGAUUGUAAAGCACUUUAAGUUGGGAGGAAGGGCAGUAAGUUAAUACCUUGCUGUUUUGACGUUACCGACAGAAUAAGCACCGGCUAACUUCGUGCCAGCCGCCGCCGUAAUAC
rnacentral:rRNA from 1 species